AGUCAACCUAACCUAUGGACGGGAAUAACCUCGGGAAACUGAGAAUAAUGCCCGAUAGAACAUUAUGCCUGGAAUGGUUUAUGUUCCAAAUGAUUUAUCGCCGUAGGAUGGGACUGCGGCCUAUCAGUUUGUUGGUGAGGUAAUGGCCCACCAAGACUAUUACAGGUACGGGCUCUGAGAGGAGUAGCCCGGAGAUGGGUACUGAGACACGGACCCAGGCCCUAUGGGGCGCAGCAGGCGAGAAAACUUUGCAAUGUGCGAAAGCACGACAAGGUUAAUCCGAGUGGUUUCUGCUAAAGAAACCUUUUGUCAGUCCUAGAAACACUGAUGAAUAAGGGGUGGGCAAGUUCUGGUGUCAGCCGCCGCGGUAAAACCAGCACCUCAAGUGGUCAGGAUGAUUAUUGGGCCUAAAGCAUCCGUAGCCGGCUCUGUAAGUUUUCGGUUAAAUCUGUACGCUCAACGUACAGGCUGCCGGGAAUACUGCAUAGCUAGGGAGUGGGAGAGGUAGACGGUACUCGGUAGGAAGGGGUAAAAUCCUUUGAUCUAUUGAUGACCACCUGUGGCGAAGGCGGUCUACCAGAACACGUCCGACGGUGAGGGAUGAAAGCUGGGGGAGCAAACCGGAUUAGAUACCCGGGUAGUCCCAGCUGUAAACUAUGCAAACUCAGUGAUGCAUUGGCUUGUGGCCAAUGCAGUGCUGCAGGGAAGCCGUUAAGUUUGCCGCCUGGGAAGUACGUACGCAAGUAUGAAACUUA
rnacentral:rRNA from 1 species